rnacentral:siRNA from 1 species
UAAUUGGUCCGUAAGUCAUGC